UGCAGUCGAACGCUUCUUUUCCCACCGGAGCUUGCUCCACCGGGAAAAGAGGAGUGGCGAACGGGUGAGUAACACGUGGGUAACCUGCCCAUCAGAAGGGGAUAACACUUGGAAACAGGUGCUAAUACCGUAUAACAAUCGAAACCGCAUGGUUUCGUUUUGAAAGGCGCUUUACGGUGCCGCUGAUGGAUGGACCCGCGGUGCAUUAGCUAGUUGGUGAGGUAACGGCUCACCAAGGCCACGAUGCAUAGCCGACCUGAGAGGGUGAUCGGCCACAUUGGGACUGAGACACGGCCCAAACUCCUACGGGAGGCAGCAGUAGGGAAUCUUCGGCAAUGGACGAAAGUCUGACCGAGCAACGCCGCGUGAGUGAAGAAGGUUUUCGGAUCGUAAAACUCUGUUGUUAGAGAAGAACAAGGGUGAGAGUAACUGUUCACCCCUUGACGGUAUCUAACCAGAAAGCCACGGCUAACUACGUGCCAGCAGCCGCGGUAAUACGUAGGUGGCAAGCGUUGUCCGGAUUUAUUGGGCGUAAAGCGAGCGCAGGCGGUUUCUUAAGUCUGAUGUGAAAGCCCCCGGCUCAACCGGGGAGGGUCAUUGGAAACUGGGAGACUUGAGUGCAGAAGAGGAGAGUGGAAUUCCAUGUGUAGCGGUGAAAUGCGUAGAUAUAUGGAGGAACACCAGUGGCGAAGGCGGCUCUCUGGUCUGUAACUGACGCUGAGGCUCGAAAGCGUGGGGAGCAAACAGGAUUAGAUACCCUGGUAGUCCACGCCGUAAACGAUGAGUGCUAAGUGUUGGAGGGUUUCCGCCCUUCAGUGCUGCAGCUAACGCAUUAAGCACUCCGCCUGGGGAGUACGACCGCAAGGUUGAAACUCAAAGGAAUUGACGGGGGCCCGCACAAGCGGUGGAGCAUGUGGUUUAAUUCGAAGCAACGCGAAGAACCUUACCAGGUCUUGACAUCCUUUGACCACUCUAGAGAUAGAGCUUCCCCUUCGGGGGCAAAGUGACAGG
rnacentral:rRNA from 1 species